rnacentral:tRNA from 1 species
GGCCUGGUGGCCUAAUGGUAAGGCGUCACUUUCCGGUUUAAUCCAGUGGUUUUAUUAUCCUGGAUUUCUAGAUUAGAUUGGUGAAGAUUGCGGGUUCGAGUCCCGUCUGGGUCG